rnacentral:misc_RNA from 1 species
GAAAUGCGAUAAGUAAUGUGAAUUGCAGAAUUCAGUGAAUCAUCGAAUCUUUGAACGCACCUUGCGCUCCUUGGUAUUCCUUGGAGCAUGCCUGUUUGAGUAUCAUGAAAUCUUCAAAGUAAAUCUUUUGUUAACUCAAUUGGUUUCUACUUUGGUAUUGGAGGUCUUUGCAGCUUCACACCUGCUCCUCUUUGUUCAUUAGCUGGAUCUCAGUGUUAUGCUUGGUUCCACUCGGCGUGAUAAGUUAUCUAUCCCUGAGGACACUGUAAAAGGUGGCCAAGGUAAAUGCAGAUGAACCGCUUCUAAUAGUCCAUUGACUUGGACAAUACUUUUAUGAUCUGAUCUCAAAUCAGGUAGGACUACCCGCUGAACUUAAGC